rnacentral:tRNA from 1 species
GUGCCCGUAGCUCAAUGGAUAGAGCGUCUGGCUACGGACCAGAAGGCUGGGGGUUCGAGUCCCUCCGGGCACGCCA